rnacentral:rRNA from 1 species
CCUACGGGAGGCUGCAGUGAGGAAUAUUGGUCAAUGGACGGAAGUCUGAACCAGCCAUGCCGCGUGCAGGAAGACGGCUCUAUGAGUUGUAAACUGCUUUUGUACAAGGGUAAACCUGAAUACGUGUAUUCAGCUGAAAGUACUGUACGAAUAAGGCUCGGCUAACUCCGUGCCAGCAGCCGCGGUAAUACGGAGGAUCCAAGCGUUAUGCGGAUUUAUUGGGUUUAAAGGGUGCGUAGGCGGAUUGAUAAGUUAGAGGUGAAAUGUCCGAGCUUAACUCGGGAACUGCCUCUAAUACUGGUGAUGUAGAGAGUGGGUGCGGUAGGCGGAAUGUAUGGGGUAGCGGUGAAAUGCUUAGAGAUCAUACAGAACACCGAUUGCGAAGGCAGCUUACCAAUCUAUAUCUGACGUUGAGGCACGAAAGCGUGGGGAGCAAACAGGAGUAGAUACCCCAGUAGUC